UGGGGUUUCUUGGCGCCCCGACCUUCGGGGGCUGAUUUUUGGGCGCGGCUGAGCCCGUGGCCUAUUUUUGGCACACGGAGGCCGCCCGCAAAGUCUGGGGCCAUUCCGAGUCCGGUGGACGAACUUCGCCCACGCCCCCCGCCAAGGCUAUAGCCCACCCGUUUUUUGGCCAUUUUUCCGCUGGCGAGUGUUGGCGCCACGACCUUCGGGCUCUCAUUUUAGGGCGCGGCUGUGCCCGUGGCCUAUUUUUGGCACACGGAGGCCGCCCGCAAAGUUUGAGGCCAUUCCGAGUCCGGCGGACGAACUUCGCCCACGCCCCCCACCAAGGCUAUAGCCCACCCGUUUUUUGGCCAUUUUUCCGCUGGGGGGUGUUGGAACCCCAACCUUCGGGAGCUCAUUUUUGGGUGCGGCUGUGCCCGUGGCCUAUUUUUGGCACACGGAGGCCGCCCGCAAAGUCUGGGGCCAUUCCGAGUCCGGCAGACGAACAUCGCCCACGCCCCCCACCAAGGCUAUAGCCCGUCCGUUUUUUGGCCAUUUUUCCGCUGGGAGUCUUGGCGCCCCGACGGAAAGGGGGCUGAUUUUUGGGCACGGCUGUGCCCGUGGCCUAUUUUUGGCACACGGAGGCUGCCCGCAAAGUCUGGGGCCAUUCCGAGUCCGGCGGACGAACUUCGCCCACGCCCCCCACCAAGGCUAUAGCCCAGCC
rnacentral:lncRNA from 1 species